ACCGCAACAAUGAUAUUUGCAAUUUAUCAGCCACGUUAUUAGUAGACAAUGCGGACGCUCUACGAUUACUGAUAGAGCAUUUUAGAAUCGACGUAGGGUCGAUCACGAUUAUACAUGCUUUUGUCUUUUGGCCAACUACAGUAGCAGACGUCUUUUAAACUCGUGAUUUACUAAGGAAUGUACGAUUAGACAAGGAAUUAUAUCAAACUAAAUUUCUUCUUAGGAAAAGAAAUCUCGGAACUUGAUCAGUACGUACAGUAAUUAUUGAUAAUAAAAUUUACAGAGAAAGACAUUAUAUUGGUCAUAACUGCUGAAAAUUCAAUCAAAAAAAUGCACGAGAAAAUGGGUUUUAAAAUAAACUUAUUAUUCAUACUUGUUGUCUUCAGCAUGUUUAGCAUGGGAUAUCAAUGUAAUACAAAACCUCCAUCAAGUGAGACAUAUGUUGAAAAUUGUAGCCUUCCAAAGGAUCCUGGUGCUUGCUUCACGAAAGAGUUGAAACUUAAUAAAAAUUAUGAAUUGAGAUAUUGGUUUGAUUCGUCAAAAACAAAAAAUUGUCAUUCUUUCUUGUACGGGGGCUGCGGAGGAAAUGGAAAUAAUUUUAAAAGUUAUGAGGAAUGCAUAACUACAUGCAGUGAAGAAUACUCUAUAUACCUUAACGAUCAAGAAUUUUUUAAAUCUAUUCAAACAUAUAGAAAUCUUUAAAACAUAAAAUUUUGGGGGAUUUUCAAUAUAUUGAUAUGUAUUUGUAAUAGCUUAAUACUAAGUUUAAAUAAAAGUACUAAAUGAAAGACUGUGUGAAGUCUUUAUAAAAUACUUGUAAAAAGGUGUUAUUUUUACAAUAAAUGACUGUAAUAAAAUAAA